rnacentral:rRNA from 1 species
GACAUAAACAAACCUUCGGGGGCGUUUAUGGGCGGCGAGCGGCGGACGGGUGAGUAAUGCCUGGGAAAUUGCCCUGAUGUGGGGGAUAACCAUUGGAAACGAUGGCUAAUACCGCAUGAUAGCUUCGGCUCAAAGAGGGGGACCUUCGGGCCUCUCGCGUCAGGAUAUGCCCAGGUGGGAUUAGCUAGUUGGUGAGGUAAGGGCUCACCAAGGCGACGAUCCCUAGCUGGUCUGAGAGGAUGAUCAGCCACACUGGAACUGAGACACGGUCCAGACUCCUACGGGAGGCAGCAGUGGGGAAUAUUGCACAAUGGGCGCAAGCCUGAUGCAGCCAUGCCGCGUGUGUGAAGAAGGCCUUCGGGUUGUAAAGCACUUUCAGCAGUGAGGAAGGUAGUGUAUUUAAUAGAUGCAUUAUUUGACGUUAGCUGCAGAAGAAGCACCGGCUAACUCCGUGCCAGCAGCCGCGGUAAUACGGAGGGUGCGAGCGUUAAUCGGAAUUACUGGGCGUAAAGCGCAUGCAGGUGGUUGGUUAAGUCAGAUGUGAAAGCCCAGGGCUCAACCUUGGAAUCGCAUUUGAAACUGGCUGACUAGAGUACUGUAGAGGGGGGUAGAAUUUCAGGUGUAGCGGUGAAAUGCGUAGAGAUCUGAAGGAAUA